rnacentral:rRNA from 1 species
ACAAUGGAGAGUUUGAUCCUGGCUCAGGACGAACGCUGGCGGCGUGCUUAACACAUGCAAGUCAAGGAGAAAGGUUCCUUCGGGAAACGAGUAAACUGGCGAACGGGUGAGUAACACGUAGGUAACCUGCCCUAGAGACUGGGAUAACCCCGAGAAAUCGGAGCUAAUACUGGAUAAUGCAGCGGGUCCUUCGGGACAUUGUUGUUAAAGCGGCCUUCGGGUCGCACUUUAGGAUGGGCCUGCGUCCGAUUAGUUAGUUGGUAAGGUAAUGGCUUACCAAGGCGAUGAUCGGUAGCUGGUUUGAGAGGAUGAUCAGCCACACUGGGAUUGAGAUACGGCCCAGACUCCUACGGGA